rnacentral:rRNA from 1 species
GAAUCGGUAAAGUUGGUCGUGCCGCCGGUAUGUACUGGCUUUACUGGUUCCUCCUUCUUGAAGAACUGUGAUGUCAUUUACUUGGUGUUGCAGGGAAACAGGACUGUUACUUUGAAAAAAUUAGAGUGUUUAAAGCAGGCUAACGCUUGAAUACAUUAGCAUGGAAUAAUGAAAUAGGACGUUUGAUCCUAUUUUGUUGGUUUCUAGGAUUGACGUA